rnacentral:misc_RNA from 1 species
AUGUUAAUAAUAUAACUUAUAACUUUCAUGAAAAUGUGCAAUACAAAGUAUAAUAAUUCUUGAAUUAAUAAAUAUUUGUAUUUAUAUAAUUAAUUAAAAUUAUAAUAAAUUAAUAUUUUAAUUUAAAUAAUUAAAUAUAAUAUUUAUAGUUCUGGUUCACCAUGUGACAAGAAUGAUCUCAUGCACGAGACCAAUGAAAUCACAACAUGUUAAGUAACUUAGUUAGAAAAUUUGAUUUAAAUAAACUCUUCUUAUUUAUAUCUUCUUUUCUCUCUCUCUCUCUUUCUCUCCUAUGUUGAUUUGGGCUCUGUUUGGCAUCAGAGGAAAUGAGUUACUUUCUUUUUAUCAUUUCUCCGAAUAAAUUUCUCUUAUUUUUUACUUUCUUCUUAUCACUUUUCAUCAUUUUCCAUUUCCUUUAUUCUAUUUGAUUCAUUCUUCAUCUCAGAUCUCAUAUAGCUAAGCACAAGUGUUUGUAGCUUUCUGAUCCCAAAAGCCCAAUGACUAGAUCACUGUUGCUGCUCACCUUGUGAAUGCAUCCAGCCCUCUAACUCAAAUGGUUUUCUCAAAUGAGAACUUUUUAUCCAUGGUGAUUGAUUUGGGGGGGUUCUAAUUUCAAUUUGGAUUCAUUUACUUUUGAUAAUGGGGGCAUUAUUCUUAUUAUGAAAUUUGGAGACAGUCGGAUUGGAGACACUUCAUUGAUAGGAUACUAAAUUCAUCAAUAGGAUUUUUGGGUGGCUGAGUUUCUUGAUUCUUAUUUAUGGGAUUUUAAUUCAUUGCAGUUAACUCUUGUAGAGGAAUUUUCGUUGCUUUUAUUAGAUGUCACCACUCUGCCCCUUAGUUUGAAAACUGCUGGCGUAUCAUGUCAAGAAGCACUUUUGUAGAAUUAUGAUGAAGAAAUGAAAUGCGAUACACCAAUACAAUUGUGUCAAGGUUUGCCUAUCUAGACAUGAUCACAAAAGGUGGGUAUUCAAUCAGGCCAUUCACUAGCUAGACAGCAACUAACUUGCAGAGGCUACGUAAAUGGCGUUCACAAAAGAGAAUAUUGUUAAUGUAAAUGGUGUGAAGGUUUGUGCUUUUUUAUUUUUUUAUUCAGUUUAUAUUCAAUAGAUGGGCUGAAUGAUCUUGAAAAGAAAAAGUAUCGUGAUAAUGGAUUAAUUAAACGUUUAACUGUCAGCUUGACGUUGUUUAAAUUGAUUUGGAAACUUGUAACGGACGAACCGUGUUAAUAAAAUUAUUAAAUUUAUUUUUUAAGCAGAA